rnacentral:rRNA from 1 species
UACGGAGGGGGCUAGCGUUGUUCGGAAUCACUGGGCGUAAAGCGCGCGUAGGCGGUUUGAUUAGUUGGGCGUGAAAGCCCGGGGCUCAACCCCGGAACUGCGUCCAAAACUGUCAGACUAGAGUCCGGGAGAGGGUGGUGGAAUUUCCAGUGUAGAGGUGAAAUUCGUAGAUAUUGGAAAGAACACCAGUGGCGAAGGCGACCACCUGGCCCGGUACUGACGCUGAGGUGCGAAAGCGUGGGGAGCAAACAGG